UGGGUAACGUGCCCCGAUGACUGGGACAACCCGGGGAAACCCGGGCUAAUACCGGAUAUGCCCCCUCACAUCAGUGAGGUGUGUAAAGGAAGCUUCGGCCUCCGCAUCGGGAUCGGCCCGCGGCCCAUUAGCUUGUUGGUGAGGUAACGGCUCACCAAGGCUGCGAUGGGUAGCUGGUCUGAGAGGACGAUCAGCCACACUGGGACUGAGACACGGCCCAGACUCCUACGGGAGGNAG
rnacentral:rRNA from 1 species